UCCUACGGGAGGCAGCAGUCGAGAAUUUUUCACAAUGGGCGCAAGCCUGAUGGAGCGACGCCGCGUGGGGGAUGAAUGGCUUCGGCCCGUAAACCCCUGUCAUUCGCGAUCAAACCUCGCUAUUUAAAAGAUGGCGAGCUGAUAGUAGCGGAAGAGGAAGGGACGGCUAACUCUGUGCCAGCAGCCGCGGUAAUACAGAGGUCCCGAGCGUUGUUCGGAUUCACUGGGCGUAAAGGGUGCGUAGGUGGUGAGGUAAGUCGGAUGUGAAAGCUCGGAGCUCAACUCCGAAAUGGCAUUGGAAACUACCUUGCUUGAGGGUUGGAGGGGGGACUGGAAUACUUGGUGUAGCAGUGAAAUGCGUAGAUAUCAAGUGGAACACCAGUGGCGAAGGCGAGUCCCUGGACAACACCUGACACUGAGGCACGAAAGCUAGGGGAGCAAACAGGAUUAGAUACCCCGGUAGC
rnacentral:rRNA from 1 species